AGCCUUUAUCUCCACUCUGCGGAGAUUCACGCCUGGAAAACGCUCUUCUGAGAGGAUCUGUGGAGGUCAACCCAGGAGAGAGAAGACAGGACUGAAGCACUGAAAGGGUCCUGCCGUUAAGGGCGCAGGAUUGUAUAGAAUAUAUAAUAGCAGUAGCAGCUCUGUUUACGGAGCAUUAACCUUACGUGGAGUUAUUUCCUGCAUUUCCUCCUUUCGUCUUUACAAGGUAGCCGUUUGGCGUCGUGAGGUAUGGAUGUUCCCAUCCCUAAUUUGCAAAAUAGGUAACUGAGGCUCAGGAGAGCUAGACUAGUUUGUGCACAGCCGAGAAGUGGUCAAGCUAGAAUGGGACCCCAGGUUUGUGCUCCCUACUCUCCACCGAUAACCUAUCAAAGGGCUUUGCAAGAGCUUUUGACUAAUCGUCUGUCAAUGGUUCUUCAUUCACGUAUUAAUUGCACAUCAGUAUGUGCCAAAUCUACUAGACAUUGGAGAAACAGUAGGAACAACACAUGGUACCGGCACAUGGAUCUUUCAGGAAAACGAAGUAGGUAAUAAACAGGAAAAAGCCCGAGUCUGAUGCUAAGAAGAACAUAAACAGGAUGCUGAGAGAUUGGGUCUCUCCACAUUGCCCCGGCUGCUCUCCAACCCCUGAGUUCAAGUGAUUCACCUCCCUUGGCCUCCCAAAGUACUGGGAUUACAGGCGUGAGCCACCGUGCCUGGCUGAGAAGAUGGAUUUAAGACAUAUUUUGGAGCGGAAAGUGACCAGAAGAGGUGUGCAGUUUCCAGGCCUGGCCCAUACAGACCUCCAACAGGUGCUCCCCUGUGCUGUUACUCCUUCUGCCAACUGGAAGCAGAUGGUGACCAGGCUCUGGAGAAGGCAAGGCCUGAAGAUGGGAGAUUCCUAAGUGGAGGAGAACUGUGCCUUACUGACCUAAAUAUCCACUCAGUAUUGUUAUGUGAGAAUAAAUAAACUUGUGUUGACCGUUUAC
rnacentral:lncRNA from 1 species